rnacentral:rRNA from 1 species
UACAGAGGGUGCGAGCGUUAAUCGGAAUUACUGGGCGUAAAGCGUGCGCAGGCGGCUUUGCAAGACAGAUGUGAAAUCCCCGGGCUCAACCUGGGAAUUGCAUUCGAGACUGAAUAGCUAGGGUACGGUAGAGGGAAGCGGAAUUUCCGGUGUAGCGGUGAAAUGCGUAGAUAUCGGAAGGAACAUCAGUGGCGAAAGCGGCUUCCUGGACCAGUACCGACGUUCAGGCACGAAAGCGUGGGGAGCAAACAGG